CAGCACCUCAAGUGGUCAGGAUGAUUAUUGGGCCUAAAGCAUCCGUAGCCGGCUCUGUAAGUUUUCGGUUAAAUCUGUAUGCUCAACAUACAGGCUGCCGGGAAUACUGCAGAGCUAGGGAGUGGGAGAGGUAGACGGUACUCGGUAGGAAGGGGUAAAAUCCUUUGAUCUAUUGAUGACCACCUGUGGCGAAGGCGGUCUACCAGAACACGUCCGACGGUGAGGGAUGAAAGCUGGGCGAGCAAACCGGAUUAGAUACCCGAGUAGUCC
rnacentral:rRNA from 1 species